UCUGCCUCCGGCCUGCUCCCGGCCGGCCCGGCCCGGCUCCGCUUCACCUGGUCCCCCACUCUGGCCGCGGGAGCCCAGUGUCCUGCAUUGACCCGGAAGCAGCUUCCUCGGUCCAACAACAACACGUGACCCCGCCGCACGUGUCACGUCCGCUGCGUGGAUGGGAGGGGGCGCAGCAGAGCUGGUCCUCCCCAACCCAGCCGGGGUUGCCAUGGCGACCGGAUGGCGGCUCUGGCCCUGGCUCCUCAGAAACACACCUCGUCCGCUGCGCCUUCCGGUGCAGUCCGCGAGGGGACGUCGCCAGGUGCGAGGAGUGCACCUGGUCACAUUGUCACAGCCACAGGAAGACACAUGGAACAGGGAUGGCACUGGCCAAUCCUGAAGUGAAUCCAGUCUUGUGUGGAUAUGUCAGCCGAACUCCUAGCAGUUGAAGAGGUUGUACAUCAGAGUCUCGUACCUGGAUUUUAGACACCGUGAAUCAUCCUUGCCAAGCCGAAACAGCUUUCAUCCAUCACUAACAUUUCAGGGUUUGUUUCCGUUUUAUUGUAAAUAUUCCAGUCGAAGAAAGAUAAACAGACAAGAAAAAACUGCUUUAUACAGUAUACAGAGUCAGAUAGAAAAUACAGAAUGAGAAAGAAAACCAACAACCAACAGAUAAAAAGUGGACACGAACCAAGGAAGAGAACUGGCUGGUUGCAAAUCCCCUCAUGGGCUUGAGCGAGGGGCCACGGUCUCAGCAGCUAAUAGAAACUGUCUGGGGCUGUCAGUCUUAUCUUUAUUCCACACGGUGAAAGACACAGACUUUAUAAAUGAUGCAUGGGGACACUUAUUUCACUAAUCCAUUAAAAAAAAAAAAGCUUGCUGUUGAUCAAGAUAUCCUGCUCAUAAAAACAAGUUUACUUUUUAAAACAAAAACAAAAACAAACCCAAAACAACCCUUCCCACCCCAAAUGCGAUCUGACAGCAGGGACCACGUUGUCAGAAGCGUGGCUGGAGCUGCGGGUUGCAGCAGUGUGGCACCACAGGGGUGUGUAGUCAGUUUCCUUCCGGUGUCCUUCCCACCAAAUCCAUAUUUCCCCGUGAAGUUAGAGGCAAGGUUUAGAAAAAUACUCAAGUGUUUUCCACAGCUUGAUGGUAGAAGAGAAAAAAGGAAAAGGACUCAAAUUCGUGAGAAAGAAAAGCUCAGGACCAAAUGGCAUCCUUUGUAAGAGUCACCAGGGAACUGCUCGGCCCCAGGACGGCAGCGCUAACCGAUGGUCCUGGCA